UCAUAUAUAAUAUUAAAUAAAUAUUUAUUAUAAAUAAAAUUUUCUCUACAUAAAAUAUCACAUAUCAUCUCCUUAACAGCACCUUCAAUUUCAUUCCUAUUUACAUUGUGAUUAACCUCCAUAUCAAUCCCCCAUUUGGUGCAUGCAUAUCAGCAAUUAGUAUGUUGAUCGGCGAAGAAAGGCCAGCAGACUGCCGGCAUGCCAUGACUAACAGCUUCCACCAUAGAAUUCCAGCCACAAUGAGUUAGGAACACAUCAACUGAUGGAUGUGCAAGCACUUGAUCUUGCGGACACCAACUUGAUAGCAAUCCUCUAUCAUUGAUGUGCUCAAUAAAUUCUUCAGGCAAGCUUGCAGAAUCUCCCAUUACUACAUCUUGUCUAAUUAUCCCUAGAAAUGGGUGUUUAUUAUUUGCAAGUCCCCAUGUAAGCUCCUUCAAGUGUCUGUCUGGUCUCAUAUGUGUGUUUCUUGAGAAAUGAAAGCUUCUAUUAAGAAAAUGAAGCAGCAGCUCAUCAUGGUCAUGCAAUUGGGUGAGUAAAUGAUAUAUACGCAUAAAUCUCAGUUUGUCAAUAGUUAAUGGCGGCUUUUGUAGUGGAAAGGUCAAGACAUGCAAGAAGUCUGGAUAAAUCCAAUGGUGAAUUUAACACUAUGGUGGCAUAAUCCUAUAUGUCUUUCUUUUUCUGUCAAAAUAUAAAAUUCAUAAAAAUCGCAAUCACUAAAUUUAAAUUAAAAUCAUUAUCUAUAAGUGUGCUCACAAUAAAAUCCGAUUCUAUAUGUCAGCUUGUAUAUGAUAAAGUUCUAACAUUAUUGGUGCUUUGGAAAAAAGUGAUUUUCAAAUUAUAAAUAGUUAUAAGUUUGAUAAAUAUUAAUAUAUAAAUUAUCAUCAACUGAAAAUUAAGUAGCACCUAAAAUUUUCACAUAUUAACUACAUGAAAUUUUAGUUUUGUCUAUCAAGCAAAUAUUUAUUCAAGCAACAGAUUUUGGUAUCCUUCUAAGAUUCCAUGAAGAGGAAAAGCGAAAAGUUCUCCAACGGGAGCUAAGAGUCUGAGAAGGAGCCUGUGAUGGAGCAAAGAGGCUCAUCUGCCUUUUGGCAGAGGUUGCCUCAGCUCUAUACAUAGGAAUAGGUGCGGGCUGGUGAUAAUUGGUGCCUGAGCUCUGUGCCUAGUUCUGUAAGGUGACUCAGUUCAAAAGUACCAUGGACUAGUUUGUUUUCUAGUGGACACAAUCAGCGAAGAACAUAGGCGACUCAGGGAAGUCCUUUUCGAAUUUGCAUGGUUGUUUCUGCUGGGUUGUCUAUGGUUUUCUUGCUUUUGUCUCAGUGGUUGCUUCAUCGCGUGAUGGUGGCGGUUUUGCUAUGAUCUAGGAAGUACGAUGGAUGGAUGGGAUGAACGGCAAUUUAGCUGGGUUUGGUAAGGACGGUGCGGUGCACGCCGAAGAUGAACGGUGCUACUGGUCAGUGGAUAGAUGAUUCUGGAGUGUCUCAUCUGGUUGGGCUAGAUUAGGCUUUAUUUGAGUUGGAUUGGGUUUUAUUUGGGUUGGACUUUCUAGAUGGUUUUGUAUUCUUAUAGGUGGGACUUGUUUUUAGUCUUUAAUAUAAUUGUGCUAGCCCACUUGAAUA